rnacentral:lncRNA from 1 species
CUGCCUAGGUUUUCCUCUAAAGUUUUAUAGUAUCUGGUCUUACAUUUAUGUCUUUAAUCCAUUUUGAGUUUACUUUUGUGUACAGCGUUAGAGAGUGUUCUAAUUACAUUCUUUUACAUGUAGUUGUCCAGUUUUCCCAGCACCACUUCAUUUCUUGAAGAGACUGUCUUUCCUCCACUGUAUGUUCUUUCCUCCUUUGUCGUAAAUUAGUUGAACGACCAUAGGUGCUCAGGUUUAUUUCUGGGCUUUCUAUCCUGUUCCAUCGAUCUAUAUUUCUGUUUUUGUGCCAGCACCAUACUGAUUUAAUGACUAUACCUUUGUAGUAUAGUCUGAAGUUGCGAAGCCUGAUUUUUUUCAGUUCUGUUUUUCUUUCUCAGGAUUGCUUUGGCUGUUUGGGGUCUUUUGCAUUCCCACACAAAUUAAAACAUUUUUUGGUCUAGUUCUGUGAAAAGUGCCUUCAGUAAUUUAAUAGGAAUUGCAUUGAAUCUGUAAUUGCAUUACAUAGUCUUUUGGACAAUAUUUGUUCUUCCAAUCCAAGAGCAUGGGUUAUCUUUCCAUCGGUUUGUGUCUUGUUUGAUUUCUUUCAUCAGUGUCUUAUGGUUUUCAGAGUACAGGUCUUUUGUCUCUUUAGGUAGGUGUAUUCCUAUGUAUUUUAUUCUUUUUGAUGUGAUGGUAAAUAGAUUUUUCCCUUAAUUUCUCUUUCUGAUCUUUCAUUGUUAGGGUAUAGAAAUGCAAGAGAUUUCUGUGUAUUAAUUUUGUAUCUUGCUACUUUACUGAAUUCACUGAUGAGCUCUAGCAGUUGUCUGAUGAUUUCUUCUCUUUCUAAACCACAGCGACCCCGUGCUAUUAAAGCAUAAGAGAAAAUAGAGUAAUAUAGUUGAGGUUGGGGGGACAAAUACUGAAUGAAGGAAUAAAUGGUGAUGUGAAGUAGUCAUAAGCUCUAGAUUCUGGACGACUCAUGUCUGAGUGCCAUGCCUAUCCUUAUCAGCUCUGAGUGCCACGCCUACAUCCUUAUCAGCUCUGAGUGCCACGCCUACAUCCUUAUCAGCUCUGAGUGCCAUGCCUACAUCCUUCUCAGCUCUGAGUGCCAU